AUUUAAAUAGCUUAUAAAGAGUAUAACAUUGAAGUUGUUAGGGAGAUUUUAAAUCUUUAAAUA
rnacentral:tRNA from 1 species